rnacentral:sRNA from 1 species
CGCCACUCCUUCGUCGAGGCAAGACGUGCGCCCGAGCCCCGCUGAACCGAGGCCACCCGGAGCCGUGCCCGGCGGCCUCAAGAACCCGGCAACCUCUGCCUUCUUCCCUCUUCCACUCGGAGUCGCGCUCCGCGCGCCCUCACUGCAGCCCCUGCGUCGCCGGGACCCUCGCGCGCGACCGCCGAAUCGCUCCUGCAGCAGAGGCCGAUACAAAGCAGGGGAAAAGGAGCCAGAUCCCAAGACGUGGAAGGCCAACUUUCGCUGUGCCAUGAACUCCCUGCCAGAUAUCGAGGAGGUGAAAGACCAGAGCAGGAACAAGGGCAGCUCAGCUGUGCGAGUGUACAGGAUGCUUCCACCUCUCACCAAGAACCAGAGAAAAGAAAGAAAGUCGAAGUCCAGCCGAGAUGCUAAGAGCAAGGCCAAGAGGAAGUCAUGUGGGGAUUCCAGCCCUGAUACCUUCUCUGAUGGACUCAGCAGCUCCACUCUGCCUGAUGACCACA